UACGGAGGGUGCAAGCGUUAUCCGGAUUCACUGGGUUUAAAGGGUGCGUAGGCGGGCAGGUAAGUCAGUGGUGAAAUCUCCGAGCUUAACUCGGAAACUGCCGUUGAUACUAUUUGUCUUGAAUAUUGUGGAGGUAAGCGGAAUAUGUCAUGUAGCGGUGAAAUGCUUAGAUAUGACAUAGAACACCGAUUGCGAAGGCAGCUAACUACGGGAUGAUUGACACUGAUGCACGAAAGCGUGGGGAUCAAACAGG
rnacentral:rRNA from 1 species